AACUCUGGAGGUGGAGGUUGCAGUGAGCUGAGAUCAUGCCACUGCACUCCAGCCUGGGUGACAGAGUGAGACUAUGUCUCAAAAAAAGAAAGAAAGAAAGAAAGAAAAAUUUGAAGUAUAGAGGGGAAUCACAAAAAUUCUAAAUGGUAACUCAUGUCAGGAACCUGAAAGUCAAGUCUUCACUUCAGCAUUGGGAAGUAUAUGAAACUGUUUUCGGACCACACAACUCUGUGAGCUCAUCGCUAAGAAUUGGUAUGCAAGGUCUUCAGAAGGGUAGGCAAUUUGUAAACUCCUUUUGACUUAGCUGGUAAGACAGAAAGUUCUUUUUUCAUGGCUAAAUGAUACUUGAGAAAAGAAAAAAUGUGGUGAAGCUGAAUGUAUCUAGUUGAAAUAAAAAUGCCUACCUUUCUCCUGCAUAGGCAAAAUAUACUACUUACAAGAAAAAAAGGAAUUUAUGAAUAGAAAUAGAAUCAGGUCACAGUGCAUUUCCUAAUUCUCCACUGGAUUUUAUUACUCAAGCACUGUAUUUUUACCUUUUAUCAUAGCUGUCAUUCGUCCUUGUACUUUAGAUAGCAGCUUAUCAACCCUUGUUAUAUCCUUACCUUCUUUAGGGUGAUGAUCUUAUCUUUAUUUUUGACCACACUUCCUGUGCCUGCCCCUUUUCUUACAUCAAUUUCUGUUCCACUUGGGAUUUUGUACUCACAGAUGUGACAUGAAUAUUUAUGAGAUUAAAGUGAAUGGUCCAACAUCAAUUCAGAAAAAUUUUGAUCCAUUCGUCCAAAUUAUUUAAAAUAUUCCCUUUCUAAUUGAGGCAGCAAGGCCUCUAGCUUAGUGCUCAUUUUCCCUCUCUAAGCAUAUUCAUGCCAUUAGGGUAUUAAUUUCUUCUAAACUAAAGCUCUUAUCUCCUCAUAAUUCAUUAUGUCUGUUUUUGAUUCGCACUAUCAUUGUGGUCUCUCAACUUACUCCCGUUAACACAGUCAUUUUGGUGGCUUUUAUAAUACCUCCUCUGUUGUUCUUCAAAUUUUGCCUAAAUAGGCAAUAACUUAAAUGAAAAAGUGUUCAUGAGUGAGCCAGUGAGCUCAGAAAUUUGGAACCUUUUUGCCAUGGAGGGUGAUGGUGAGCUUAGUGAUAACAAGAAUUUCCCAAUUAUGGCAUCUACCUUUCUAAUCAUCUCUCCUUCCAUGUGAUACUGUUUUUAUAUAGUUUGUUUUGCCUGCCUCCCUCCCUUCCCAUCUCUCUUCUUUCCUCCCUUCCUUCUCUCCUUUCCUUCCACUCUUCUUUCCUUUAUGGGAAAAACCAUUCUAAAUCCUUCAAAUUGUGGUUUGAGUUUACAGUCUUUUAUUGAAAUUACAUGUUGGUAUGCUAGGAGUAUAUGAAAGCUUUUUUUCCAAUUUGCAAAGAAUGUUUAUAUGAUUUUAUUAUUUUUAUAUGAUUUUUGUAUUAAAAUCAUCCCAGAUAUCCCCAAAAUAGAAUGCAAAGUUUACAUUUUAAAUUUACUUUGAAAUUUUAAAUAAAUUUUCUUCUAAGUUGUCUUUGGAUUACAUAUCCAGACAGAUUGGAGGCAUCAAAAUACUUCCCACUCCUUUUUCAAUGUUGUUAGGGAUAUUGCUAUGACAUUUUUGAGAAGUAUUCGAAACAACUCUAUUAAGAUAAGCUCCUUUUCUUUAUUGUCUUCAUCUUAUAUCUCUGGCUGUCAAUGAAAUUCUAUCAUUUCCCACUCAAAGCCCAAUUGAUCUCUGGAAGGAGGUGGGGUGUGCCCUUGUAUGAGCUCUUAAGAAUUUAUUUAGCAUUUUUUUCUAGCUCUUCCAUCAGUGAAAUCAAGAUGGUAGCUGAAAUUUACCACGGUGGAGGAUAUUUACAUCACAGAAAUUGGCAAAGGCUACAAAUAAGUUUAAUUUUUUUUUUUUUAGAACUCGUUAAGUAUGUACCAGCACACCCUGUAAGGUUGAUUGAUGCUUGAUCUAGGUGUCUUCCGUAUGCUUUGUGUGUUACUCCUGUGGCUUUACCAGCUAUUAUGCAUUAGUCUCUGGGGAUAAGGGAAGUAAUAAACCUUUGUCCCAGGUCUCAUAAAUAGCUUGGUUAUUAAUCAAAUGAUCAUUUGGUCUGGCUUCCUUUGUUCGGUCCUAUGCUUGUAAGUAUGGAUGUGUUAGCUCUAGACAGAACCAUAGAUAAGGGAGCUAAAGCCCAGAGUGAUUAAUGACUUACAAGGUCACAAUUCUAGUUAGAGGGAAAGAUGCUGGGACAAGAAUCUGGGUUUUCUGAGUCCCAGGUAGGUUUUGUUGCUGUUAUACAACUCUCUAAUAAUUUUCAAAAAAUCCUAAAUCAUAAAUAUUCCAUUGUAAUAAGCUUCAGAAAGCAUUGCAAGCCACAGAUUUAGCUCUAAUACUAUUAAUCUUUGCUUUUUUUCUAAUCUAAAAACUAGGAUACAUUAAGAAAAGUAGAAAAUGUAAAAAUAUUGGUAAAAAACCAAAACUCCUAACAAAUUAAUAUAUAUAUGUUAAGAGAGACAUACGUUUAAACAAUUUACUAUCAUCUGUCAACUUUUAAAGGAAUGCCUGGAUGUAGCUCUUAUGACUUUCAAUCGAAGUGACACAAUUUUUCCAGUAAUUUUAACUGUUUCUCCCAGCUUGCUUGUUAAAGAAAUCUGUAACAUCUUUAGCAAGAAACAGAAAGACAGAGGGCAGCAUGGGACCAGAGUGCAGCUGUCCUUCAGAAGAACCUGACUGUACAACUUGCACAUCUGAAGAGGUAGCCAAGAAAAUAGAGAAAAGAAUGGGAAGUGGAUCUACCCACAUCCUCUCCCAUCCCCUCCAGAAAGAAAUGCAGCAUCUCUUUCUCAUUGUUUAAGAAGAAAAGGGGGAUCUCGGAGACAAAGCCAAUGAAGAAUAAAUGAGUGCUCUGCCAGUUCAAAGUCAAUGUGAAGAUUGGAUGGGGAAGCGUGCGGAGCUCAGAAGCAUUUUUUUUUUCCAGAGCAAGAGAAAAUCCAGUGACUGAAAAAGAAUAAGAAGAAAAACACUGACCAAGGCAAUAAUUCCAAGAAGUCAAAAAUUAAGGCCUGAGAGGAAGAAGGCAGACUAAAGAAAGUAGGAAAGAUGCAAGGAGAAAGACAGCCAUCUGCAUACCAGGAAGAGGGCCCUCACCAGACACUGGAUCUGCUGCAUCCUUGAUCUUGGGCUUCCAACCUCUAGAACCAUGUGAAAUACAUUUCUGUUGUUUAAACCA
rnacentral:lncRNA from 10 species